GAUGAACGCUGGCGGCGUGCCUAAUACAUGCAAGUCGAGCGAACAGACGAGGAGCUUGCUCCUCUGACGUUAGCGGCGGACGGGUGAGUAACACGUGGAUAACCUACCUAUAAGACUGGGAUAACUUCGGGAAACCGGAGCUAAUACCGGAUAAUAUAUUGAGCCGCAUGGUUCAAUAGUGAAAGACGGUUUUGCUGUCACUUAUAGAUGGAUCCGCGCCGCAUUAGCUAGUUGGUAAGGUAACGGCUUACCAAGGCAACGAUGCGUAGCCGACCUGAGAGGGUGAUCGGCCACACUGGAACUGAGACACGGUCCAGACUCCUACGGGAGGCAGCAGUAGGGAAUCUUCCGCAAUGGGCGAAAGCCUGACGGAGCAACGCCGCGUGAGUGAUGAUGGUCUUCGGAUCGUAAAACUCUGUUAUUAGGGAAGAACAAAUGUGUAAGUAACUAUGCACGUCUUGACGGUACCUAAUCAGAAAGCCACGGCUAACUACGUG
rnacentral:rRNA from 1 species